rnacentral:misc_RNA from 1 species
UCCCUGUUGCCAGGGCAGUCUGAUUAGAAAAAUCCAACUAAUCACAAGGGUUGCGCUCGUUGAUGGACUUAACCAAACAUCUCACGACACGAGCUGACGACGGCCAUGCAACACCUGUCACUUGGUUCCGAAGCACUCUCUCCUUUCGGAGAAAUUCCAAGGAUGUCAAACCUGGGUAAGGUUCUUCGCUUACCAUCGAAUUAAAGAACACACUCCACCGCUUGUGCGGGUCCCCGUCAAUUCCUUUAUGUUUUAAGCUUGCGCUCGUACUCCACAGGCGGGAUGCUUAACGCGUUAGCUUCGCUACUACGAGGGUCGAUACUCAUAACAGCUAGCAUCCAUCGUUUACGGCGUGGACUAA